CCUACGGGGGGCUGCAGUGGGGAAUAUUGCACAAUGGGCGCAAGCCUGAUGCAGCCAUGCCGCGUGUGUGAAGAAGGCCUUCGGGUUGUAAAGCACUUUCAGCGGGGAGGAAGGCGGUGAGGUUAAUAACCUCAUCGAUUGACGUUACCCGCAGAAGAAGCACUGGCUAACUCCGUGCCAGCAGCCGCGGUAAUACGGAGGGUGCAAGCGUUAAUCGGAAUUACUGGGCGUAAAGCGCACGCAGGCGGUCUGUCAAGUCGGAUGUGAAAUCCCCGGGCUCAACCUGGGAACUGCAUUCGAAGCUGGCAGGCUAGAGUCUUGUAGAGGGGGGUAGAAUUCCAGGUGUAGCGGUGAAAUGCGUAGAGAUCUGGAGAAAUACCGGUGGCGAAGGCGGCCCCCUGGACAAAGACUGACGCUCAGGUGCGAAAGCGUGGGGAGCAAACAGGAUUAGAUACCUAGUAGUC
rnacentral:rRNA from 1 species